rnacentral:lncRNA from 1 species
AAAAUAUUCAAGGGUCCCCAGGCAGCACAGUAGAAGGAUGAAACUGAGAGGAAGACUCUAUUCCUACAUCUACUGUACUAAUUCAUGAACAUUCUCUGGUGUCAAAAGAUUGACAAGAUGGAGCGAUACUCAAGAGCCCAAAUUCACAGGUUUCUUGAAAGUUAAUGUGGAUACAAACCUCCUAGGAUCUUGUUAAAGUGCAGAUUCUGAUUCAAUGGGACUGGGGUGCAGCCUGAGAAUUUGCGUUUCUAACAACCUCCCCCCG